GAUGAACGCUGGCGGCGUGCCUAAUACAUGCAAGUCGAGCGAACGGACGAGAAGCUUGCUCCUCUGAUGUUAGCGGCGGACGGGUGAGUAACACGUGGAUAACCUACCUAUAAGACUGGGAUAACUUCGGGAAACCGGAGCUAAUACCGGAUAAUAUUUUGAACCGCAUGGUUCAAUAGUGAAAGACGGUCUUGCUGUCACUUAUAGAUGGAUCCGCGCUGCAUUAGCUAGUUGGUAAGGUAACGGCUUACCAAGGCAACGAUGCAUAGCCGACCUGAGAGGGUGAUCGGCCACACUGGAACUGAGACACGGUCCAGACUCCUACGGGAGGCAGCAGUAGGGAAUCUUCCGCAAUGGGCGAAAGCCUGACGGAGCAACGCCGCGUGAGUGAUGAAGGUCUUCGGAUCGUAAAACUCUGUUAUUAGGGAAGAACAGAUGUGUAAGUAACUGUGCACAUCUUGACGGUACCUAAUCAGAAAGCCACGGCUAACUACGUG
rnacentral:rRNA from 1 species